rnacentral:rRNA from 1 species
AGGUUAACCAUCUAGGGGAGCCGUAGGGAAACCGAGUCUUAACUGGGCGUUCAGUCUCUGGAUAUAGACCCGAAACCAGGUGAUCUAGCCAUGGGCAGGUUGAAGGUUGAGUAACAUCAACUGGAGGACCGAACCGACUAAUGUUGAAAAAUUAGCGGAUGACUUGUGGCUAGGGGUGAAAGGCCAAUCAAACCUGGAGAUAGCUGGUUCUCCCCGAAAGCUAUUUAGGUAGCGCCUCGGACGAAUACUACUGGGGGUAGAGCACUGUUAAGGCUAGGGGGUCAUCCCGACUUACCAACCCUUUGCAAACUCCGAAUACCAGUAAGUACUAUCCGGGAGACACACGGCGGGUGCUAACGUCCGUCGUGGAGAGGGAAACAACCCAGACCGCCAGCUAAGGUCCCAAAUUACUACUAAGUGGGAAACGAUGUGGGAAGGCUCAGACAGCCAGGAUGUUGGCUUAGAAGCAGCCAUCAUUUAAAGAAAGCGUAAUAGCUCACUGGUCGAGUCGGCCUGCGCGGAAGAUGUAACGGGGCUAAGUAGUAAACCGAAGCUGCGGCAAUGUGCUUUUGCACAUUGGGUAGGGGAGCGUUCUGUAAGCGGUUGAAGGUGUGUGGUAACGCAUGCUGGAC